UAGGGAAUCUUCCGCAAUGGACGAAAGUCUGACGGAGCAACGCCGCGUGAGUGAAGAAGGAUUUCGGUUCGUAAAACUCUGUUGUUAGGGAAGAAAAAAUGUAUAGUAACUAUAUACAAAAGAGACGGUACCUAACCAGAAAGCCACGGCUAACUACGUGCCAGCAGCCGCGGUAAUACGUAGGGGGCUAGCGUUGUCCGGAAUCACUGGGCGUAAAGGGUUCGCAGGCGGCAAUGCAAGUCAGAUGUAAAAGGCAAAGGCUCAACCUUUGUAAGCAUCUGAAACUGUAUAGCUUGAGAAGUGUAGAGGCAAGUGGAAUUUUUAGUGUAGCGGUGAAAUGCGUAGAUAUUAAAAAGAAUACCGGUGGCGAAGGCGACUUGCUGGGCACAAUCUGACGCUGAGGAACGAAAGCGUGGGGAGCAAACAGG
rnacentral:rRNA from 1 species